CCUACGGGAGGCUGCAGUGGGGAAUAUUGGACAAUGGGGGGAACCCUGAUCCAGCCAUGCCGCGUGUGUGAAGAAGGCCCUCGGGUUGUAAAGCACUUUCAGUGAGGAAGAACGCCUGGUGGUUAAUACCCAUCAGGAAAGACAUCACUCACAGAAGAAGCACCGGCUAACUCCGUGCCAGCAGCCGCGGUAAUACGGAGGGUGCGAGCGUUAAUCGGAAUUACUGGGCGUAAAGCGCGCGUAGGUGGCUUGAUAAGCCGGUUGUGAAAGCCCCGGGCUCAACCUGGGAACGGCAUCCGGAACUGUCAAGCUAGAGUGCAGGAGAGGAAGGUAGAAUUCCCGGUGUAGCGGUGAAAUGCGUAGAGAUCGGGAGGAAUACCAGUGGCGAAGGCGGCCUUCUGGACUGACACUGACACUGAGGUGCGAAAGCGUGGGUAGCAAACAGGAUUAGAUACCCCUGUAGUA
rnacentral:rRNA from 1 species